rnacentral:misc_RNA from 1 species
AAGUCGUAACAAGGUUUCCGUAGGUGAACCUGCGGAAGGAUCAUUAACACUUUUUAUCCAAUAAAAAAAAAACUAAACGUGAACUUUUCCCCUCCCUAUAUAUAUUUCGAUAUAUAUAGGCUAAACCAUUUAUUUUUACAAACCACUUUAAUUUUUUAUAAGUCUUCUGUAACAAAAAGACUUAACUAACUAAAAAUUUUACUUAAGAUGUCAAAUGUUGAUCUCUUAAUUAAUAUUUUUUCUUUACGAAAUAAAUAUUACUAGAUAAGAACAACUCUUAGCAAUGGAUAUCUUGGUUCUC